rnacentral:rRNA from 1 species
AACGUAGGACGCAAGCGUUAUCCGGAGUUACUGGGCGUAAAGCGCGGGCAGGCGGCGGUCUAAGUCCGAUGUGAAAGCUCCCGGCUCAACCGGGAGAGGCCAUGGGAAACUAGGUCGCUGGAGGGCAGUAGAGGUAGGCGGAAUUCCGGGUGGAGUGGUGAAAUGCGUAGAGAUCCGGAGGAACACCAGAGGCGAAGGCGGCCUACUGGGCUGCACCUGACGCUGAGCCGCGAAAGCCAGGGGAGCGAACGGG